CCGGCUGGCCAUGAAUAUGUACACAACAACCUCAAGACAGACCUGGAUCAAAUGUGCCAGUACAGUCUUCCCUCAGGUCCGCUAUUGUCCAGAGCACACAUUUAACGUGAUGAACAACGCAAUGGUACAAAAGACACGUGCAUAAUCGAGGGCAUGACCUGAACAUGUGUCAUAUUGUCGUCAGUAUGUGACAUGGCAUGCGGAUUUGUGGAACUGGAAUGUUCUCUACUGUACUAAAUUGUCACGUAAAAACGAGAACUUCCUGCUUUUCCGGUUUCCCCCAUGAUUGCCAAGUCAUUAUUUGAAAUCAAAAUGAAGACGACCUAUUUCGGCCCUGACUGGCGUGUGAAUGGCUAAAGUAGUCAUGAAUCGAGGAGCUGAGGGGGACAUCUCUUCAGGAAUGACCGUUGAGGGAACCGGUUACGCCAGGCUCAUUCCUCCACGGUAAAGACAAGAGGGUGGCUGCGUUGAUAGAAAAGAGGCCUUGUGAAAGUCUGAAUCCACAUGGUACUACUGCAGACUUUGAACAUGUUGUACUUGCGUUACGACAUUGUACCCAGAGUUGGGUUUUAAUUUCCUUUGAAAUCUGAGCUUUGUAAAUGCCAAAAAUGACUACCACAAAUCAUUUCAAAAGGACCGUAUCACGUUCUUGUUUUUUUUUUUUCUAUACAAAAUGUUUCUUGAUAAACAAUUUUCUC